CCCUUAGAUGUUCUGGGCCGCACGCGCGCUACACUGAUGCAUUCAACGAGUUUCUUCCUGGUCCGAGAGGAAUGGGUAACCUUUUGAAAGUGCAUCGUGAUAGGGAUAGACUAUUGCAAUUAUUGGUCUUCAACGAGGAAUUCCUAGUAGACGUAGUUCAUCAGACUGCAUCGAUUACGUCCCUGCCCUUUGUACACACCGCCCGUCGCUCCUACCGAUUGAAUGCUCAGGUGAGCCAUUCGGACUUUGAUCAUGCUGGUUUCCAGUUUUGAUGAAGGAAAGUCUUGCGAACCUUAUCAUUUAGAGGAAGGAGAAGUCGUAACA
rnacentral:rRNA from 1 species